rnacentral:snoRNA from 1 species
AGUGUUGACAAUGAGGAUACAAAGCUCCCUCUUUUGAUUUUGAGGUGAGGAAAAUUGCAGGCAGAAUUGAACCUUAACAAAUCUAACCACGACUUAGU